rnacentral:rRNA from 1 species
UACGUAGGGACCAAGCGUUGUUCGGAUUUACUGGGCGUAAAGCGCACGUAGGCGGUUUGUUAAGUGAGAGGUGAAAUUCCCAGAGCUCAACUCUGGAACUGCCUUUCAUACUGGCAAGCUAGAGUCCGGAAGAGGUAAGUGGAACUCCUAGUGUAGAGGUGGAAUUCGUAGAUAUUAGGAAGAACACCAGUGGCGAAGGCGGCUUACUGGCCG